rnacentral:ncRNA from 1 species
AUCUACUAGGGGCGCCAGUUGGCUGAGAAGUACCCUUUGAACCUGAUCUAGUUCGUACUAGCGUAGGGAAGUGGGUUAG